AUUCAAUCUCAGAAAUCGCCAUAUGACUCGCCCUUGGAUCCAUCGACUGUCCUCCUAUUUUUGUGCGUCUUUCUAUUUUCUCUCUCUUACCCUCAUCCAAAACCCCCUCUCUCCCUCAAUUCCCGAUCUCUAGUUCUAUGGAUUCUCUCUGAUGAUCUCUUAUCGAUCUUCUUUUUCGCUUUUCUAAAUUGUCUUUCAUGCGUUUGAUGAUCCAAGCAAGAGGUCGACGAAGAGCUGGUUUUGAGUGAGCGCAGAGUUUUAAGGAGGGAAAGAAAGGUGGCUCUUUCGAAGAGCAGAGGGAGAUAAUGCCUUCGAUACCCAUACAGCUACAGCUCCGUUUGCUUCCAUCUUUGGCUCUCUUUCAUGGUGGAUUGUGUUAUCAUCGUUUGAAACAGCUUGAAAAGCGUGACCGGCGUGGUAAUCUUAGUUAACAUUAGGAACUUUUUCUUCCUAUUUCUCUUCUAUAUUCGUUUCUAGUUCUUUCUCUCUUUUCGUUCCUUUUGGGUUCUUGCUUUCUGGGUUUCUACAAUUAGUUGUUAUUUUCGUGAAAAUCGGGUUCGAGAAAUCGGAGAUAGAGAGAUCAUUUGAAGAAUUUGGUUGGACUUGAUAAGAGCUAUUCAGAGACAGCAUAAGAGGUACUGUUUUGAUGGGUUUAUCUGUGUAUCUUGUUUAUAUGCUAUGAAACUUCACUUUAAUUGUGUGCGUUUGAUGGGUUUAAUUUGAUGAAUAUAUGGGAUUGCGUGUAAUGUGGACAAUUUUCCGUUUGAUCGUUAUUUUUUCAGCUCAGUAAUAUAAUAUCUUUUGAUCUGUUAUCUAUUGAGGAUAUUGAUUGAGACUAUCAGCAGUUCAAUCACGCAUUUGAGAGCAAUGUAUGGUUUUAUUUUGAAGGCUUUCAAUUGUUUAUAUACUUGACGUGUAUCCGUUUCCAUGCUAAUAAGAAUUUAUUUGUGGCGUGUGUUUGAGGUUUUCAUAGAGUGCUUUCUUGUUUUUGCAGUUACCUAUUUCUUGUUUGGUGGUGUUAUUGAUGGAAGUUAUCUGUAAUCGAUGUGUGGAUGGUGGUGGUGUUCUGGUAGACGAAAUCCAAAGCAAUUUAAGCAAGUUUGGGCAUUUAGGGGAUGUUCAAGAAACAGAUGCAUCUGAUGGAGACUGUACCAGUGGUGCAGAGGGAUUCCAAGAGCUUGGGCCAUUUGGGCAUGAACCCGUUAAAAAUUCUCUAGAAAAGGCUGUAGCAUUGCCAUCUGAAGAUGAUGAACCUGAAACAGCAUUGCGGCUGCUGUUCUCUGGGGAGCCCAUAAGGCCUGCAUUGCCACUUGUGUCUGCCAUGAAAGGUAGUCGAGAAAAACUGGGAACAUCCCCAAGAAAGCUGUCUGUGACUUGGGCCCCUGAUGUGUAUGAUCCUAUUCCUAAUUCAGUAUCACACUCUGUUACAAGCAAGCAGAGGAAGUCUAGGAAAGAUAAAGGCAAAAAUAGCAACAAUAACCACAAGAAAAAUGGAAAGAAGGGCCAGAAAGGCAACUCAAAAGGAGGAGGUGGUAAAGACAAGAAGCAAUUGCGCAAAACUGGUGGUAGGUCUGAUAAGUGUUAUAAAACACUGAACACUUGUGAUGCCCCAGACCUUGAUGAAUUUGAUGUUGGAAGCCCAGACUACUGUGGAAGUAGCUUCCUCAAAAAAUCCCCCACAACGUUUCACUACCCUGUUGCAGAGGCGUUGUGAAAUCACAUCUUCAUUCCACAUCAUGGUGUUAUGUGAAUAAAUAAAUGUAGCUAUGAAGCUUAUGACUGGAAGAUGUGGUACCUAUCUUGCCCGUGUUUUUGUUGAUACUAUAUCAACUUAUAUUAUAUUUUUGGUGCUUGUUUAAUUUUUCUUUUUUGGGCAACGGCACUAAUAGCUUGUUUGGAUCGGAUGGAAGUAAAAUAUCAGAGGAAUCAAAGCAAGGAAAAAUACUCAGAGAGAAGGGAGGAAAGUCUUAUAUUCUAUUCGGGCCAUUCUCUCCCAUUUAAGGUAACCAAAAAAAUAAAAUUACAUUUUUAACCUUGGUUCUCUUUCUUGGAAUUUCGGGGGCGGUUCUUUUUUUCUCUAGAUGCAAAUAAAAUGUAUUCUUGAAAAAUCAAUCAAUAUACCAGGUAGCAUGCUUUGGGUGGCUAAAAAGUUUAUUUUGAUGUUUAUUAUAUGGGUAUCAAUUUGGAAUAUUUACCAAAUUUUAAUUUUAUUUAGAUUUAAUGGUACUAUGGUUGUAGGUUGUCUCUGAGGCAAUUGAUUUUAGAUAAGGA
rnacentral:misc_RNA from 1 species